GGGCCUAUAGCUCAGGUGGUUAGAGCGCUUCGCUGAUAACGAAGAGGUCCCUGGUUCAAGUCCAGGUAGGCCCACCA
rnacentral:tRNA from 5 species